rnacentral:rRNA from 1 species
UGGGGAAUAUUGGACAAUGGGCGAAAGCCUGAUCCAGCCAUGCCGCGUGAGUGAUGAAGGCCCUAGGGUUGUAAAGCUCUUUCAACGGUGAAGAUAAUGACGGUAACCGUAGGAGAAGCCCCGGCUAACUUCGUG